UCUGGCCCACCAUGUUCUCGUUCAAAACUCAUCCAUCUUCUCUGAUCGCCCUACAGCUCUUCCUACUUCCAAAAUGUUGUCCAGCAACCAACACAACAUCAACACCGCUUAUUAUGGCCCAACAUGGCGUACCCUUCGUCGUAACCUUGCUUCCGAGAUGCUUCAUCCAUCCAAACUCAAAUCGUUCUCAGAAAUUCGGAAGUGGGUCUUACGCACUCUCAUCAAUCGUCUCAAAACUGCAUCAGAAUCGGAACUAACGGAUUCUAUUAAGGUUAUGCCACACUUCAAAUAUGCUAUGUUCUCUUUACUUGUUUUUAUGUGUUUUGGUGAAAGAGUUAACGAUGAGAAAAUCAGUGAUAUUGAGCGUGUACAAAGGAAGAUUAUGUUAAAUUUUGGCAGAUUCAAUAAACUGAACUUCUGGCCGAAAGUUACAAGGAUUUUGUUGCGUAACCAAUGGGAGGAGUUUUUGAAGUUACUUAAGGAUCAAGAGGAUGUUCUGCUUCCGCUGAUAAGAGCAAGGAAGCAAGUUAAGGAGAGUAAAUUGAACAAUAUUAAUACUGUUGUUUCAUAUGCAGAUACUCUCUUAGAGUUAGAGUGGCCUGAGGAGAAACGGAAGCUGAGUGAGAAUGAAAUGGUUAAUCUUUGUUCAGAGUUUUUGAACGGUGGGACAGACACUACUUCCACUAGUUUGCAGUGGAUUAUGGCGAAUGUAGUGAAGUACCCAGAAGUGCAGGGGAGGCUUGUGGAGGAGAUUCGGGAGGUGAUGGGUGGUGAUGAAAAUGGAGAGAAGGAGGAAGUGAAAGAGGAAGACUUGCAGAAACUUCGGUAUUUGAAGUGUGUGGUUUUGGAAGGGUUGAGGCGUCAUCCACCGGGGAAAUUUCCGUUGCCACACGCGGUGAAAGAGGAUGUGGUUUUGGACGGUUAUUUGGUGCCUAAAAACGGGACGGUGAAUUUCUUGCUGGCGGAGAUGGCGUUGGAUCCUCGUGUUUGGGAGGACCCGUUGGAGUUUAAGCCAGAAAGGUUUUUGAAGGAUGAGACUUUUGACAUUACAGGAAGUAAAGAGAUAAAGAUGAUGCCGUUUGGAGCUGGAAGAAGAAUUUGUCCCGGACUUAAUUUAGCUUUGCUCCAUUUGGAAUAUUUUGUGGCUAACUUGGUUUGGAAUUUCGAUUGGAAGGUUCCAGAGGGCGGGCAUGUUGAUUUGACGGAAAUACAAGAAUUCACCAUGGUGAUGAAAAAUCCAUUGCAAGUUCAUAUUUCUCCUAGGAUAUAGAUUAUGUGUGUUAUAUGUAACGAUGUGGAGUAUGUAAUGUUGUUGUGUGAACCACCCUAGAUUCUCUGCUUGAGAAUGUCAUAACACAGCAGGGGAGUAUUAUAUGUGGAUUUGUCAUAUGGUGGGAUUUUGUUUCAUAUAAUGAUCCGUUAUGCAUAUAUAUGCCUUCACAUAUGUUAUUGUUCUUUCUUAUAUAUCUUGUUUCCUGUAUAAAUAAAAACUUUGCCUGUCAUUCUUGUAAGUCAAGAUACUUUCAUUGUAAAAAUAUAUGAUCUUUGUUGUAGUAAUAUUGAAGUUGGUUUAUUUUGUUAAUCUGUUUGGUCUUGGCGGUUAUAGAUUAUGUUUCCUCCCUAAACAUCUGUGGUCUUAAAUUAUAGGGUUGUAACUUGUAAUUUUGAGUGUGCAGAAGUGAUGCAUAGAAUAGAGUUAUGGCCAAAGUGAAAUGGUGCUUCAUGAUUUUCUUAAUAAUAAGAGAUCUACUAAAAAGUACCAUAACUAUCAACACAUUGGGAACUUGAACAGUUUCACCUUUCAUUUGAUAGGUUAAAUUGAGUUCAUACAAAUACUAAUUUCUAAUUUUUUAAUACUUACAACAAGUAUCCUAAAGAUACUCUUUAGUAUUUGACGAUUUGCCAUUCUCAAGUCUUCACUUGCAUCAGAUAUUGACUUCAUAUGCUAAUUAGAUAACACUGUUUUCAUUGAUCUUAUGGUUGUAUAGUGUGAUAUGCAAAUAUUGUGGAGGCCAAAUUGAACUUCUUAUUAGACAGGCAGAAGAUUAUAACACAGAGAAGGUUGUGGACGACUGGAGGUGACGUGACGUAUUUAAUUUACAAAUGAUUUUGAUAACGAUUGUACUUGAAACACUCUUUGAAUAUUCUAAAAUACGAAUUAUUCUUUUAGGAAAAUCGAAUAUUUUGAUUUUUAAUACAUUGAAUACACGUGUUUUCAAUACUACUUAUUAUAUAUGGUUUUUAAAGAGUGCUCCAUAAUACUAGUAAACAUUUAUCUUUUUAAAAAGUAGGAAUAAAAAAAUUGAGUAAUCAGAAAAAUUGGUGACCAAUCAUAAGUGUGAAUAAAAAUAGAGCGAAUAGAUAAAUUGAUCCUCAAAAUUAUAAAAAAUCUAUCAAAAUAGUCAUUGAUUUUUUUGCCACAAAUUCUUUCAUAACUCUUGUGGUUAUAAUUUGUAAAAAAAAAAAAACUUUUGUUGGUAUAAGGUAGGACCAGCAUUCUAUAUUGAGGCUGUAACAAAAAAACAAAACAUUCUAUAUUGAGGUGACAUUGACAAUGACGUAGGACCAACCUUCAAUUAUAUAUCACGUCACAGUAACAACAGAGAGAUCAUUUUUCAAAUGAAUGUCAUGGAAAAUUUCCAUUUCCAUUGGAAAUCAUACUAGAAAACAGAGAGAAAAUUAUUACCUGAUAGCAAUAUCACUUAGUUAGCUAUUGCUUGCUGCGCAAGUAACUGAGCUUAAUUAGGAUUAUAUUUCUCUUUAGUUUGUCCAUAGUAGUUUAUCAUGCAUUUAGAUUCUUGUAUAUAUACCGGUUGUAAGCUCUCAUUUGAUCAAUAACAAUUCAUUCUAUUCAACCCACUUAGGUUGAUUUGUUGGUAUUGGCUUGAGAUCUGGGAGUGUACUCCUCCUCCUCGAGGUCUCAGAUUCGAUUUUCUUCGGUGUCAAUUUGAAUGGGCUAAUUUAGCUUCUUCAAAAAAAAAAAUCAUUCUAUUCAUUUUACUUGGUUUCCUAAUAAAAAUAUCUCAUCUUGUAAUCGUGGUUCAAUAGAAAUUAGAAUGAAUGAAAAGACUUCAAGGAAAAUGCUCAUAUACAAGCAAUAGAAGAAAUCUGCUAUAACAUAUUCAGUUAGAGAUUACAGUUCAAAAGCUUAUCUAAUUAAUCAACUCCAAGUGUGUAACAGUUUUAGAAGAACACUUCUAUGGUCAAAACCCCAAAUAUAAUUCAUUCGCACAUUUACAAAACUUGAAAAAGGUACAAUAGAAGACAAUUGAAUAAAUCCUAAAAAAAAUUGAAUAUAUAAUGUGUAUUUUUGACAUAAUUAAAUAAAAUGUAUUGUUAUGUGUGUGUGGCCACAUAAUUUUUAUUUUGGCAUGUGAUCAUAGAAAUAUUUCUCACAAUUUUAAAUAACAUUUUACUAUUUAAGAGGUGUAUUUGUAAUACAAAAAAUAAUGAGCUAGUUUAAUAGAUUCCUACAAACCUAUCUAACUAGGACCACUCAUUUUUGUACACAAUAAGGACAGUACAGACAUAUUGUCGUGCCACAAAAGUAAUCCACUUCAGAUCAUAUAUUAUGGGUACUGUUUUGUCUAUCCAAAAAGGACAAUAUUUAAUUUUGAAAAAACAUAUUUUAUUCUUAUUAAGAAUUCUGAAAUUUUAUUUCAAAGAUUUAUAUAUAACGAUAAAGAGUGAGUAUCAUAUUAAUGUAUAGAGAAAAAACAUGUUUGAUGAACAUUUCCUUCAGAUUCAACGGGUGAAACUAUUGCAAUUUUAGCCUAUACUUUUAAUUUAAAUUAGAACCUGGCCAUUCACAUUUAACGCAUAAAUAUUGCCUUUGUUUAUGGAAUUUUUUGCUUAUCUUCUUAUUCCUAAACAAAGCUUUGUUGCUCUAACUUUAACCUAAUAUUUUAACCCUAAUAUUUUAGCAACUUUUCCCUCCUUUAAAACCUAACCAUAUUUCCUAAUUCUCCUCCUCCAAACCUUAACCAUCUAACUUCACUCCUCCUAAACCAUAUUUCCUAAUUCCCCUCCUCCAAACCCUAACCAAUAUAUUUUAAUCCUUUCUCCUAAACCGAAAUCUCUUUUUAAAACAAUACCUUUCUCUCCUCCAAACCCUCACCAAUAUAUUUUAAUCCUUUCUCCUAAACCGAAAUCUCUUUUCAACAUGGCUUCCAGAAACAUUCAGACUUUGCUGUGAUACCACUGCCUCACUGGUAACCAUAUCUUCAUUCCACUCUGGUUUAAACUAAAUAUAUAGAUUUUUGCUCUUAUUCCUCGCUGUUUUAAAGUAUAAAUCAUUCUUUAAUCCCUUUCAAUCUUUUGUAGGUCCGUUGGUGAAAAACCCUUUUUCCGAUCUUGACAAAGCAAUCAACAAGCUCAGACUGAAAUACAGAUCAUAUAUCGUUGAAUAUGACAUUGAUGUUGUAUGUGCUUUUUGCGAAAUAUACCUAUUCUUAAUUAUUUGCAUUCUAUUUUUAUCAAUGUUUGUGAUGUUUUUGUUUGUUAUUUUUUUAGGGUGCAGUAUGCUUGCUUAACAUGUUUGGCGGUGAUUUCGGAGAUCAAAUUGGGCGCUAUGCAAUAUUGACAGAUCCUAAGUCCAACAAGGUGUGAAGAUCAGAGGGGGUGCUCCGAUGGUUGGGUCACAUGAUACCAUCUACCUUGAUGUUAUUUACAAUUAGCCCAUGUUUAGAUAAAUUGUGCAAGACCUUUCCAAUUUGAAUUUUAAGUUUUAGUUUCUUAGAGUUUUGGAAGCAUCUAUUUUUUUUGUCUUUGAAUUUGGCAAAUGUCCCUUGAAUUUCAUAAAUAAUUCAGCCUUGCUUGCUUUGCUUUCGGAUUUAUAUAUUUGUGUUUGUUUUUGUGUUGCUGAAUCAAUUUAGUAGCAUGGCUGUGUUACUGAAGCAUUUUAGUAACAUUUUUAGUAACAUUAUUAGUAACAAUUACUAGAAUCAAUUUAGUAGCAUAGCUGUGUAACGUCUCCUCUUAACAUUAUUACUAACAAUUACUAAUCCUAAUCUCUAAAAUAUGUUUUGGGUGGAAACAAACUAAAAUCCUAAUCCUAAUUUCUCUCAAUCAAGUAACUAAGAGAUUUCAUCCACAUCUCUAAACUAACUUUUUGGUGGAAAGAAACUAAAAUCCUUAUUUCUAUAAUUCAAAUAAUUAGGGAAUUUCAUCCACAUCUCUAAAAUAUGUUUUGGGUGGAAACAAACUAAAAAUCCUAAUUCCAGUCAUUCAAAUAACUACUAAAGAUUUCAUCCACAUCUCUAAAAUAUGUUUUGGGUGGAAACAAACUAAAAUCCUAAUCCUAAUUUCUGUCAUUCAUGUAACUAAGAGAUUUCAUCCACAUCUCUAAACUAUGUUUUUGGUGGAAACAAACUAAAAUUCUUAUUUCUCUCAUUCAAUUAAUUAGGGGAUUUCAUCCACAUCUUUAAAAUAUGUUUUGGGUGGAAACAAACUAAAAAUCAUAAUUCCUCUCAUUCAAGUAACUACUAAAGAUUUCAUCCACAUCUCUAAAAUAUGUUUUGGGUGGAAACAAACUAAAAAUCCUAAUUCCUCUCAUUCAAGUAACUACUAAAGAUUUCAUCCACAUCUCUAAAAUAUGUUUUGGGUGGAAACAAACUUAAAUCCUAAUCCUAAUUUCUUUUUAAGUAACUAAGAUAUUUCAUCCACAUCUCUAAUCUAACUUUUUGGUGGAAACAAACUAAAAUUCUUAUUUAUCUCAUUCAAAUAAGUAGGAGAUUUCAUCCAUAUCUCUAAAAUAUGUUUUCGGUGGAAACAAACUAAAAAUUCUAAUUCUUCUCUCAUUCAAGUAACUAAGAGAUUUCAUCCACAUCUCUAAAGUAACUUUUUGGUGGAAACAAACUAAAAUCCUUAUUUCUCUCAUUCAAAUAAGUAGGGGAUUUCAUCCACAUCUCUAAAAUAUGUUUUGGGUGGAAACAAACUAAAAAUCCUAAUUCCUCUCAUUCAAGUAACUACUACACAUUUCAUCCACAUCUCUAAAAUAUGUUUUGGCGAAUCAACUAUGGUAAUUCUUAAGUCACAAAAAAUGCCAAUUCUUAAGUAAAACAAAGUGCCCCAUCAACAAUAUUAAUUUCAUUUUAUUCAUAUUAAUCUUUAUCCUAAAAUGUUGGCCACUUCCUAAUUUUGUUCCACUAUUUUGUGCUUAUCUAGAUAACUAAUACUCUUUAUAUCUCAACCGACAUAUCCUACUCACACGUAUUCCACCUUUUCCUAUAAAUAUAUCAUAACCUAUUAGCCAAACCAUCUCAAUCUAAAUAAGCAUCCUCUUUCUUGGAAAGGAAAAAACAAGCCAAUGAUGUCUGCCAAAUACACUCCAAUCUCAGCUGUUUCUGGAUGAAGAAAGAAUUUCAAGAUGUGUGUGCGAGUUGCUCACAUUUGGUUGAUUCGAGAGAAGAAGGUCCCCACUAGCAUCAUUUUCAUGAACAUGUUAGUGGUCGAUGAAAAGGUUUCUGCAUGUUUGCACUCUUAGCUUUAAAAUUAAACUAAUGUCAUUGUUGUUUUUUAGUUAUGUAAUUUAACCAGCUGUUUAAUGUUGUUGUUGUCGUCAAUAGGGUGGACGUAUUCACGCCACAUCUAGAAAAGAUUUGGUGGCAAAGUUCAGGUCCAUGGUUCAAGAAGGGGGUACAUAUCAGCUUGAAAAUGCAAUGGUAGGUUUUAAUGAAAGUCCUUAUAAGGUAACUUCACACAAACAUAAGCUUAGUAUGAUGCACAAUUCAAAUUUUACCAAAGUACACUCGCCUGCUAUCCCUAUGAACGUUUUUGAGUUCAAGCCAUUCAAUGAAAUUCUCUCUUCAACUGUCGAGGAAGUAUCUACGGAUAAGACUUCAAUUCUGAAUGUGUGUUGUACAUUAUUUCUACCUAUAAGCAUUCGUUUAGGAAUUUCAUACAUUUGUUUUUGCUUUUGUAUACGUAAUUUCAGAUGUUAUUGGUCAUGUAAUUGAAAGAGGUGAUAUAAGGGAAACUGAAAAGGACGGAAGGAAAAACAGGGUUAUUGAUCUCACUUUAGAAGAUCUUGAGUAAGAUUUGUCUCUUUCUUUGUACCUGGUUGUAAUAUAAUUUUAAUAUACCUUAUGUUCCUGAAUUGAUAUUUUGGUAAUAUUUUAUUACAGAAACAACCGCUUGCAUUGCUCUCUUUGGGGUGAACAUGCAGACAAAAUUGUGACCUUUUAUGGCAACCAUGACAACGACACACCUACUAUAUUGAUAUUGCAGUUUUGCAAGACACGCAUGUAUUUAGGUAUGUCGUGUUUUAAGUUUGUGCUUUCUGCUGAUAUCAACAAUGAAAUGUGAAAUUAUGUUCACUUGCAAUUGAUUUUUAAAAAAUUAGGUGCUAUGGGAGUUGCUAAUGCCUUUAAUGGGACUAAGCUGAUACUUAAUGGCGAUUUUCCUGAUGUCGCUGUGUACAUGACACAGUAACCAUUUACAUUUUUAUAUGCUUUAGAAUAAAGGCAAGUUUUUUUGGUCGUAAUUAAGUUGUCUGGAGGUCUCACCACUCUUCUAUUAACAUUGGUGCCCUUUUAUUAGAAUGAAAAAUGCAUCAAUACAGUUCACCCGAAGUGUCAGCCAAAUUUCAACGAAUAGCUCAGCGUCUUUAUCAGAUGACUUGCUCAACACUAAUCGAAUGACAAUUGAAAGCAUGAUUGAGUCAACUGAGGUAGCUAUCUGUUUAUUGAAAUUUUUAGAUGUCGUUUUGGAUUCAUCUUUGUUAUUUUUCACAUGGACAGUUGUACAUGGCAAUAUCACGGGUUACUUCGAGGGGUGGUUUAAAGAUAUUGAUUAAUGACGACGACGGCGAUGAUACCGAUGUUGCAAGUGUGGUCUACAGAAAAGUUUUCCGUAAUGUGUAGGACUUUUUUGUGUACUAUUCAUUUUCUUACUUAUUGAAACUAUUUGCAUAUCAACGAACUUCAGUUUCCCUUUUAAAAUUAUAUGUUUUGUUAAAGUAAUAGGAACUACGUACUAGAAUUAUGGAACAAUAACAAAGUCUAUGGUAAUUGACAUUUUGCUUUGAUUCACGAUAAUUUUUUCAUUCAAGCGAACUACAGUGUCUUAUUUUUUCAGUGAGUAUUAAUUUUUUUAAAUGACACGUGCGUUAACACGGGUCAAUGGUCUAGUAUGGUGUAAUCAGCAUUUAUAUUUUGUGUAGUAGUGAAUGAAUGGAUUGUCACUAAAAAACUUGGAAAUGCUCUUAAGGGAGGGAGGGAGAGAUGUGAUAAGAGGAGUAUUAAUUUUAUUAUUAAAAUCAACUCAAAUAAAUAUUUUGUUAAAACGGAGCAUAUCACAUAUGCCACAAUUAAGACGAGACAGAUAAUAUUUUUAAUUGUUAAUUAAAAUUAGCAUUUGACAGGACAUUAAUUAAAAUGAUUAAUUGCGUAAACAAAAUGCAUAAAAUUACCCUUCAUCACAAAUUAUAAGUCAUUUUGAAGAAAAAAAUUAUCCCAAAGUAUAAACCAUUUUAUAAUACAAAUGAAACAUUAAUGAUUAUUUUUUUAUUAUACCAUUGACUAUUUAAUACUCUUUUAUAAAAGAUAAUUUUGUAAAACUACUUAUAAUUUCAUUUUUCCCGUAUAAAAUUGAUUACAUGUCUUAAAUCAUAAAAGUACAAAGGGUUUGUUGCUAAUGGCACUUCCUCCAUCCAAACCAAUUUUGGUUAAGUAUGGGCUAGUUGGGCCAGAUUAUGUGCAAUCUUGUUUCGUGAUCUAGGGGUAAAAUUAAAGGACAUGUGUCAAAAGAGGAUUGCUCCUUACGGAUUUGUUUUUGGAUAAUGUACCCAAGAUAAGAUGUAUUUAUCACACUUUCCUCUUUCACUUUGCAAAUCAAAAUUUUACUAUCCUGGAUAAUGGUAGAAACUAUUUAUAAUUUGGGACGGAGGUAAUACUGUUUUGAAAUUAAAAUAAUCAAGGGUCAUAAGUAUAUAACCAUUUUCCUUAAAAAAAAAAAAAAAACUUCACCUUAAAUGAAAUGAGGAAUGCUAACAACAUAUUUUUUAACACAUACUUUUCAACACACCUUCUUGAUUGGUUAAAACUCACAUAGUCCAACCAAAUUUAUAUGGGACUCAUAUGAUUAGAUGGGAAUCAUGUGAAUUUUAACCGAUCGAAGAAAGUGUGUUGUUGAAAAAUGUGUUUUAAAAUAUGUGUUGCUAGUUUUUCUUUAAAUGAAAUUUGUUUGUAUGAGAAGGAGAGACAUAAUACCACAUCCAUAAUAAUAACAACAAUAUCAUAUGAUUUCCCUAAAAAAGUAAAAAAUAAUAUCAUAUGAUUUGUUUAUAUAAAUGCUCCUCAUUCUCAUUUUUUGUGUCACAGAUAUAUCCAUCCCCACAAAAGAGUAAAGUUGCACCAAACUUUUACACAAUGGAAACAUGGUUCAUUGUCCUCAUUACUCUCUGCAUCAUCUUCCUCAUCGGAGUCAUUCUUGCCUCCUUCACAACCACCGUACCCUUCCCUCCUGGCCCUCCACACAUCCCCAUCCUCACAAACAUUCAGUUGCUCCGAAAACCAUCCUCCCAACUUGAACCUUUUCUCAAAACUCUCCAUGCCAAACAUGGUCCUAUCAUCACUCUCCACAUCGGUUCUCGACCUUCCAUUUUCAUCGAUGACCAUGCUCUGGCCCACCAUGUUCUCGUUCAAAACUCAGACAUCUACUCUGAUCGCCCUAAAGCUUUUCCUACUUCCAAAAUGUUGUCCAGCAACCAACACAACAUCAGCUCCGGUUUUUAUGGCCCAACAUGGCGUACCCUCCGUCGUAACCUUGCUUCCGAGAUACUUCAUCCUUCCAAAACCAAAUCGUUCUCAGAAAUUCGGAAGUGGGUGUUACACACUCUCAUCAACCGUCUCAAAACCGCAUCGGAAUCUGCAGAUUCUGUCACGGUUGUUUCUCCCUUUCGUUAUGCUAUGUUUAGCUUACUUGUUUUUAUGUGUUUUGGUGAAAGAGUUAACGAUGAGAAUAUCAGUGAUAUUGAGCGUGUGCAAAUGACAAUUAUGUUAAAUAUCGGCAGAUUCAAUAUACUGAAUUUCUGGCCGAAAGUUACAAGGAUUUUGUUGCGUAACCGAUGGAAGGAGUUUUUGAAGUUACUUAAGGAUCAAGAGGAUGUUCUACUUCCGCUGAUAAGAGCGAGGAAACAAGUUAAGGAGAGUAAAUUGAACAAUGUUAAUACUGUUGUUUCGUAUGCAGAUACUCUUCUAGAGUUGGAGUUGCCCGAGGAGAAACGAAAGUUGAGUGAGAAUGAAAUGGUUAAUCUUUGUUCAGAGUUUCUGAAUGGUGGGACGGAUACUACUUCCACUACUUUGCAAUGGAUUAUGGCGAAUUUGGUUAAGUACCCAGAAGUGCAGAGGAGGCUUGUGGAGGAGAUUCGGGAGGUGAUGGGUGGUGAUGAGAAUGGAGAGAAGGAGGAAGUGAAAGAGGAAGAAUUGCAGAAACUUCGGUAUUUGAAAUGUGUUGUUUUGGAAGGGUUGAGGCGUCAUCCACCGGGGCAUUUUCUGUUGCCACACGCGGUGAAAGAGGAUGUGGUUUUGAACGGUUAUUUGGUGCCUAAAAAUGGGACGGUGAAUUUCAUGCUGGCGGAGAUGGGGUGGGAUCCUCGUGUUUGGGAGGAUCCAAUGGAGUUUAAGCCAGAAAGGUUUUGGAAGGAUGAGAAUUUUGACAUUACAGGGAGUAAGGAGAUAAAGAUGAUGCCGUUUGAAGCUGAAAGGAGAAUUUGUCCUGCACUUAAUUUAGCUUUGCUCCAUUUAGAAUAUUUUGUGGCUAAUUUGGUUUGGAAUUUCGAUUGGAAGCUUCCAGAGGGCGGCUAUGUUGAUUUGUCGGAAAAACAAGAAUUCAAUAUGGUGAUGAAAAAUCCAUUGCAAGUUCAUAUUUCUCCUAGGAUAUAGAUUAUGUUUUUUAUGUGUAAUGAUAAAUCGUAUGUUCCUGUGUGAACCACUCUAGAUUCUCUGCUUGAGAAUGUCAUAACACAGCAAAGAAAUAUUAUAUGUGGAUUUUGGCUGUUUUUUCCGCGUUUGCGGCCCCUUGUAUUGUUGUUUUAGCGUUCUUUGGUGCUUUUUGCACCUAGUUCAGCUUAAUAAUAUUUGCAGUUUAAAAAAAAUAUACGUGGAUUUGUCACAUUGUGGUAUUUUGUUUGAUACAAUUAUCCCUUAUGCGCAUACAUAUAUGCCUUUAAUAUCAUAAUUGUUCAUUCUUAUAUAUCUUGUUUCUUGUAUAAAAUAAAACAUGCAUGGUCCCCGUGAGCUUAGCUCAGUUGGCAGGGACAAUGUAUUAUUAUAUGUAGGGGUCGGGGUUCGAACCCCGGACACCCCACUUAUUUACUUUAAAAGUGAAUUUCUAACCACUAGGCUACCUGACCAAAAAAAAAAAAACAUGCAUGGACUUCCUGUAAGUCGAGAUACUUUCACCAAAAGUGAUGCAUAGAAUAGAGUUAUGGCCAAAGUGAAAUGGUGCUUCAUGAUUUUCUUAAUAACAAGAUCCACAGAUGUAUAUAGCUUGUUUCUCGACCUGAGUUAAUCAUCAUCAAUUUCUGUAUCAACAAUCUUCUACUUCUAUUUGAAAUAGUAACAUGUGUUCCUCUCAACAGGUCUAUUAAUAAGUACCAUAACACAACAAUCAACACAUUGGGAACUUGAACAAUUUCACCUUUCAUUUGAUAGGUUAAAUUGAGUUCGUACAAACAGUAGAUUAUAUAGUUAUAGCAUGAAAUUGAUAAAUAAUAAUUAUAAUAAUUUACUCAAAAUAAUAUUAGAAAUAAUGGUCACUUACAUAAAGAAAAAAAUAAUAGAUUAAUAGUCACUUAACAACAACAACAAAAAAACAAAAAAACUUAAAAUAUCUGUUUAGGACUUUUGAAACUUAAAAAACUUAUUUGAGACUUUUAAAACUCAAAAGACCACUUUAAAAAAAACGAAAAACUUAAAGCAGAUUGACCUUUAAUAUUUUCUUACAAUUUAGAGUAAUAAUUUAAUUACACCUACCUAUCUAACUAGGACCAAAUCUUUCCAAAAAAAGAAAAAACUAACUAGGACCACUCAUUUGACAGGGAUAUUGCAUAUUAUAUGCAGGGGCCGGGGUUCAAACUCUGGACACUCCACUUCUCCACAAUUUAAUUGUGUGAGUUCUAGCCAUUAGGCUACUUAAAAAAAAAAAAAAAAAAAAAGAACAGACGUAGUGUGGUACCACAAAAGUAAUCUACUUCGGUUCAUAUAUUAUGGAUAUAGUACAGACAUAGUGUCUAACCAAAAAGGACGAUAUUUAAUUUUGAAAAAACAUUUUUUAUUCUUAUUAAGAAUUCUGAAAGAAAAAAAAAAUUAUACAUAAUGAUAAAAUUAACAUAUUAACAAUUAUAAAAUAUUCAAAUGUCUAGAUGAAAUAAAUAACUUUGUACUAUUUAGAAAGAAAUCUUUUAAAUCAAAAUGACAUUAUUUUUAGCUAUGAAAGAAAACAAUUUUUUUUAAUGAAGUUAGUUAACCACCAUUCAACGCUUAAUACAUGCUUUGAUCCCUUAACUUAUUUUUGGAUUUCAUUUUGAUCCCCUAACUAUAAAGUGUCUCAAUUUGGUCCCUUAUGUCUUCUGCCGUUACCUCUUUUGGUCCUCUCCGUUAGUUUGUUUUCAAAAAUAGUUAACCCUUGUCCACAUGUCAUUUAAGAUUGGAGAUCAAGGGCUAGAUUUGAAAAGUACACAAGUAUACAAUGGGCUCACAACAUAUAAUCAUUUCUAUUUUUCUUGAUUUCCUAAAAAUAUAAAUUUAAAAUCACCAUCAAUUUACAUCUUUUUUAAAUAAUUUGUAUCCAGAUUUUUAAAAAUUAAAAUAUUUUUCAGAAUUUUGUAGGAAAAAAAAAAUCUGACCUUUUUUAAAAAUUUCGUAAUAUUUUUUUUUUUUUCAAAUUUUGAAAAAGAUUUUAUAAAAUUCAAGAAUAACUUUUUUUUUCAUAUUUUAUAAAAAUCUGAAUUUUUUUUAUAUAUUUUUCAAAAUUAAAAUAUUUUGUAGAAAAAAUUAAAAAUAACCUUUUUUUUUCGUAAAAAAAUAUGACCUUUUUUAUAACCUUUUUAAAUUCAGAAUUCUGGAUUUUUUAAAUUAAAAUAUUUUCCAGAAUUUUGUAGAAAAAUUUGUAUCGAGAUUUAUUAUAUAUUUUUUUAAAAAUUUGUAUCCAGAUUUUUGUAGAAAAAAUUAAAAAAAACAUUUUUUUUCCGGAAAUCUGACCUUUUUUUUGAAAUUUCGUAAAAAAUUAAUUUUUUUUUCAAAUUUUUAAAUCUUGGAAAAGAUUUUAUAAAAAUUCUGGAAUAUUUUUUUUUCUUCUAAUUUUAAAAUCUGAAUUUUUUAUAUAUUUUUCCAGAUUUUUAAAAAUUAAAAUAUUUUCCAGAAUUUUGUAGGAAAAAAUUAAAAAAAUAAAUUUUAUCAAUUUUUUUAAUUUUGAAAAUGAUUUUUUAAAAAUUCUAAAAAAAAAAUAUGUAAUAUAUAUAUUUUUUCAUAUUUUAUAAAAAAUAUCAAUUUUUUAUAUUUUUGGCUUCAAAAAAAUCAGGUGUUAAUCAUUCAGCGUAGGCUACAAUAAACCUACAUGAUCCAACGGUUUCUAUUUGAAAAAUAGAUCAAACAGUUACAAACUAACGGAGAGGACCAAAAGAGGUAACGGCAGAAGACAUAAUGGACCAAAUUGAGACACUUUACAGUUAGGGGACCAAAAUGAAAUCCAAAAUAAGUUAAGGGACCAAAGCAUGUAUUAAGCCACUCAAAUAUAUAUCCUUUUGACCUAGACCCAAGCCCAAUCAGACAGCAGCGUCGCGCGUGAUAAAUAUUUUUUUUUAAGCGUUCACUCUAUUCACAAAAGUGUGUACCCGUACAUCUUUGGAAGUGAACCCCCUCUUAAUUAUAUAAAUGCUACCUGCAUGUUUUCUCUCCUAUAUGAAACAUUUUUUCAAUUCACACAACACUAGUUAUGGUGGGAAACAACAACUUCCCUUUCCCAUGCUAAACCUCACCUAAAUCAUGUUCUUCAAAUGAUCUAAUGGUCACAAAAUACUUUCUCAUGGUGGAAAACAACUUCCCUUUCCCAUGCUAAACCUCACCCUAGUUAUAUCCAAUAAGACUUUGUAUUAUUCUUCCAAUGUUCACUCAUUUAACUAGUGAACUCAAAUAAGUAUUUUGUUAAAACCGAGCAUAACACAAUUGCGACAAUUAAAAUGAGACUGAGAAUAUCGUUACUCGUUAAUUAAAAUUAGUUUUUGAGAGGACAUUAAAGAGAACUUCUAUGGUACACCUCACAACUCUUGCUUCAUAAAUUUAUAAAUUAACGAUUAUUUUAAAAAAUAAAUAGUUGUUUGUCAAUAUUUAUAUUUUAGAAAACAUCAUUUCACAAGAAAAAAAACGUCAUUUCAUUGUUUAUAAGAAUUAUAUUAAAUUUUUAACAUUUUCUCAUAAAAAAUAAUCAAUAUUCUUUGUUAUGAGUAAUAAAAAUUCAAAAAAAGUAAAUUUUAUUUCUUCGACACUUUUAGCAAAUAAGAUUUAAUUAUUAUAAUUGUCAAUGAUAGAACAUAAUUUUUUUCUUUAAAAAAUAACAACUCAUUUAAUUGUUAAUUUAAGAAUUUAGUGUACCAAUACACUCAAAAUUUUAGGUGUAACAACUUUAGUUGUACCAUAGAAUUUGCUGGACAUUAAUUAAAAUUAUUAAUUGCGCAAACAAAAUGCAUAACAUUACCCUAUAUCACAAAUUAUAAAUCGUUUUGAAUUUUUUUUUUCUCUCAAAUUAUAAACCAUCUUAUAAUAUAAAUAAAAAAUUAAUGUUAGUUUUCCUAUUGUACCAUUGACCUUUUAAUCAAGGUUUUACAACUCGAGAGUUUAUCUUAACUUAUUUUGCUUAGGUAAACUCGACUCGAUAACUCUUACGAGUUUACCUACAACUAAAAUUAUAUAAAAUUUAUUAUAUGCGCCAUGUAUAAGUUAAUAUAAUAUUGUAAAUAGGUCAAUAGUGCAAAAUAUGUCUUAAUUACAAAGGUAAAUUAUACCAAACUACCAUAAUAAAACGUUAUGCUACACUUAGCAUCAAAUUACAAAAAUUAACUCACAAAAUCAUAAGUUUCAUAAGUCUCUAAGUUUAAGCCAUCCAUAAAAACAUCCAAUAAAAAACAAGUUUCACAAGUUCCUAAAGUUGUUAAUAAAACGAGUAGUGAUAUUUGUACAACCAUAUAUGACAACUUUGAUGACAACUUUCAUUUUCUCUCUUCUCAUUGGCCAAAAAUAAUAGAGAGAAAAAAAUGAAGAGAGAAUAAGAAUAUAAUGUGAGUAUGAGAGAUAAAGUUGUCAAAAGGUUGUCAAAAAUUGGUUGUACAAAUAUCAUUUCUCUAAUAAAAUUAUCCAAAAAAUAAACUAAAUAAUUUCUUCAAAAGGUCAAUGCUUCUAAAGUUCCAUAACAUCAUUUUCAUCUAUGUCUUCAUCUCCAACAUCAUCAAAAUGAGCCCAAAAAAUUAUGUAAAUGUAAAGGUAAUUUCAUCUAAAGCCUUAGUUAUCGUAAAGGUAACUAUUCAGUAAAUGUUCUAGUCUUUAGGAUUGUAGAAAAUGAAUUUGGGUUUUGAAAAAAAUGGGCCAAAAAAAUGAGCGAAUUUUUUAUUUUUUUUAUUUUUAGAAGUAAACUCGUAAAACUCGAUCGAGUUUACACGAUUUUACCGAGUGUUAACUUGGUCAAACUUGUCAAACUUUUUGAUUUUACCACAAACCGAAUUUACCUCCGAGUUAACACGAUUUUGGUACAUAAAAACGUAAAUUUAAUAAACUCGGCGAGUUAACACUCGAUUUAUGAAACAUUGAUUUUAAUACUAUUUCCUUUGAUUAUUUAAUUUCUCUUCUAUAUACCAUUACAUUUCUUAAUUUGUUUAAAAUUGUCGAAACUAUUUAUAAUUUGUUUGUUUGUAUGAGGAGAGACGUGUGUUAAGACCACAUCCAUAUAUAAUCAUAUCAUAUGGUUUAUAUAAACCCUCAUCAUCCUCCCUCAAAAAAAAAAAAAAAACCCUCAUCAUCCUCAUGUUUUGUGUCACACACAUAUUCUUCCCCACAAAAGAGUAAAGUUGCACCAAACAUUUACGUAAAUAUAGAAACAUGGUUCAUAGUCCUCGUUACUCUCUGCAUCAUCUUCCUUAUCAGAGCCAUGCUCUCCUUCUUCACAACCACUGUACCCCUCCCUCCCGGCCCUCUACACAUCCCCAUCAUCACAAACUUCCAAUUGCUCCAAAAAUCAAUCUCCCAACUUGAACCUUUUCUCAAAACUCUCCAUGCCAAACAUGGUCCUAUCAUCAUUGUCCAUAUCGGUUCUCAACCUUCCAUUUUCAUCAACGACCAUGCUCUGGCUCACCAUGUUCUCGUUCAAAACUCAGCCAUAAUCUCUGAUCGCCCUACAGCUCUUCCUACUUCCAAAAUGUUGUCCAGCAACCAACACAACAUCAACACCGCUUUUUAUGGCCCAACAUGGCGUACCCUCCGUCGUAACCUUGCUUUCGAGAUGCUUCAUCCAUCCAAACUCAAAUCGUUCUCAGAAAUUCAGAAGUGGGUCUUACGCACUCUCAUCAACC
rnacentral:lncRNA from 1 species